GACGAACGCUGGCGGCGUGCUUAACACAUGCAAGUCGAACGGGCCUUGUCCCCUUUUUUUUGGGGGUGGGGUUAGUGGCGAACGGGUGAGUAACACGUGAGUAACCUGCCCCUCACUUCUGGAUAACCGCUUGAAAGGGUGGCUAAUACGGGGUGUUCUGGCCUGCUCGCAUGGGUGGGUUUGGAAAGAUUCGACCGGUUUUGGUUGUUUUGGUGGGGGAUGGGCUCGCGGCCUAUCAGCUUGUUGGUGGGGUGAUGGCCUGCCAAGGCUUUGACGGGUAGCAGGCCUGAGAGGGUGAGCGGUCACACUGGGACUGAGACACGGCCCAGACUCAUACGAGAGGCAGCAGUGGGGAAUAUUGCACAAUGGGCGCAAGCCUGAUGCAGCGACGCCGCGUGAGGGAUGGAGGCCUUCGGGUUGUGAACCUCUUUCGCCAGUGAAGAAGGUCCUGCUCUUUGUGGUGGGGUUGACGGUAGCUGGGUUAAUGAAGCGCCGGCUAACUACGUG
rnacentral:rRNA from 1 species